UACGGAGGGUGCAAACGUUGCUCGGAAUCAUUGGGCGUAAAGCGCACGUAGGCGGUCUGUCAUGUCGGGUGUGAAAGCCCUCGGCUCAACCGAGGAAGUGCAUUCGAAACUAACAGACUUGAAUAUGGAAGAGGGUCGCGGAAUUCCCGGUGUAGAGGUGAAAUUCGUAGAUAUCGGGAGAACACCAGUGGCGAAGGCGGCGCCUGGGCCAAUAUUGACGCUGAGGUGGCGAAAAGCGUGGGGAGCAAACAGG
rnacentral:rRNA from 1 species